AUUGAACGCUGGCGGCAGGCCUAACACAUGCAAGUCGAACGGUAACAGGAAACAGCUUGCUGUUUCGCUGACGAGUGGCGGACGGGUGAGUAAUGUCUGGGAAACUGCCUGAUGGAGGGGGAUAACUACUGGAAACGGUAGCUAAUACCGCAUAACGUCGCAAGACCAAAGAGGGGGACCUUCGGGCCUCUUGCCAUCGGAUGUGCCCAGAUGGGAUUAGCUAGUAGGUGGGGUAACGGCUCACCUAGGCGACGAUCCCUAGCUGGUCUGAGAGGAUGACCAGCCACACUGGAACUGAGACACGGUCCAGACUCCUACGGGAGGCAGCAGUGGGGAAUAUUGCACAAUGGGCGCAAGCCUGAUACAGCCAUGCCGCGUGUAUGAAGAAGGCCUUCGGGUUGUAAAGUACUUUCAGCGGGGAGGAAGGGAGUAAAGUUAAUACCUUUACUCAUUGACGUUACCCGCAGAAGAAGCACCGGCUAACUCCGUG
rnacentral:rRNA from 1 species